GACAGAGGGUGCAAACGUUGCUCGGAAUUACUGGGCGUAAAGGGCGUGUAGGCGGGAAGGCAAGUCGGGCGUGAAAGCCCCAGGCUCAACCUGGGAACUGCACUCGAAACUGCCUUUCUUGAGUGCCGGAGAGGAAAGCGGAAUUCCUGGUGUAGAGGUGAAAUUCGUAGAUAAUCAGGAGGAACACCAGUGGCGAAAGGCGGCUUUCUGGACGGUAACUGACGCUGAGACGCGAAAGCGUGGGGAGCAAACAGG
rnacentral:rRNA from 1 species